AUUGGGGAUCCGAAUUUAGCCAUGCUAGUCGCACGAGUUCAGACUCGUGGCGAAUAGCUCAGUAACACGUGGCCAAACUACCCUUCGGAACACAAUACCCUCGGGAAACUGAGGCUAAUAGUGUAUACCACAUCACCACUGGAAUGAGUGAUGUGCCAAACGCUCCGGCGCCGAAGGAUGUGGCUGCGGCCGAUUAGGUAGACGGUGGGGUAACGGCCCACCGUGCCAAUAAUCGGUAUGGGUCAUGAGAGUGAGAACCCAGAGACGGAAUCUGAGACAAGAUUCCGGGCCCUACGGGGCGCAGCAGGCGCGAAACCUUUACACUGCACGACAGUGCGAUAGGGGGAUCCCAAGUGCACAGGCAUAGCGCCUGUGCUUUUCGGCACCCUAAGGCGGUGCCAGAAUAAGGGCUGGGCAAGACCGGUGCCAGCCGCCGCGGUAAUACCGGCAGCCCAAGUGAUGGCCGAUCUUAUUGGGCCUAAAGCGUCCGUAGCUGGCCCGCGCAAGUCCAUCGGGAAAUCCACCUGCUCAACAGGUGGGCGCCCGGUAGAAACUGCGUGGCUUGGGACCGGAAGGCGCGACGGGUACGUCCGGGGUAGGAGUGAAAUCCCGUAAUCCUGGACGGACCGCCGAUGGCGAAAGCACGUCGCGAGGACGGAUCCGACAGUGAGGGACGAAAGCCAGGGUCUCGAACCGGAUUAGAUACCCGGGUAGUCCUGGCCGUAAACAAUGUCUGCUAGGUGUGGCUCCCACUACGAGUGGGUGCUGUGCCGUAGGGAAGCCGCUAAGCAGACCGCCUGGGAAGUACGUCCGCAAGGAUGAAACUUAAAGGAAUUGGCGGGGGAGCACUACAACCGGAGGAGCCUGCGGUUUAAUUGGACUCAACGCCGGACAUCUCACCAGCAUCGACUGUAAUAAUGACGACCAGGUUGAUGACCUUGUCCGAGUUUCAGAGAGGAGGUGCAUGGCCGCCGUCAGCUCGUACCGUGAGGCGUCCUGUUAAGUCAGGCAACGAGCGAGACCCGCACCCUUACUUGCCAGCAGUACCGCGAGGUAGCUGGGGACAGUAGGGGGACCGCCGUGGCUAACACGGAGGAAGGAACGGGCAACGGUAGGUCAGUAUGCCCCGAAUGUGCUGGGCAACACGCGGGCUACAAUGGUCGAGACAAAGGGUUCCAACUCCGAAAGGAGACGGUAAUCUCAGAAACUCGAUCGUAGUUCGGAUUGUGGGCUGCAACUCGCCCACAUGAAGCUGGAUUCGGUAGUAAUCGCGUGUCACAAGCGCGCGGUGAAUACGUCCCUGCUCCUUGCACACACCGCCCGUCAAAGCACCCGAGUGAGGUCCGGAUGAGGCGUUCCACGAACGUCGAAUCUGGGCUUCGCAAGGGGGCUAAGUCGUAAUCAA
rnacentral:rRNA from 1 species